rnacentral:lncRNA from 1 species
CUAGAGAAUCAGAAGAAGGCGAGGAAGGUAAGCCUGGCCUCUGACCCCAGCCUUGGGCACGCCAGGGUGACUUUCCAUGACCCUACCUCUCCCACAGAAAAAGGUCAUGAUUGCCAUCUGUGUUUCUGUCACUGUUCUCAUCUUGGCUGUCAUCAUUGGCAUCACCAUAACCGUUGGAUAAUGUCACAUGUUCUUGGUGAGAUAUGGCGGGCCUGCCCCAUCCCUGGCAACAGCCUUCCCACCUCCUGUCAGACCCAUUUCUUUCUCCUUCCCUUGCAGGCACUGGGAGAAACAGAGACCCAGCAUUUGUGGAGGCAGGGCAGGCCUCCAGCUGGACCCACCCUCACACUGGCCCUUGUGCAGAAGGGCAUAUGGCUCUUCUGGGUUGGCAGCUGCUCGUUCAUGGAGUCCUUCCCUUCAGGCCACAAUGCCUGGGAGAAAGUUUCCAAUGUCCUGUUUGUCUGGGACAUAUGGUUUUAUAAAAAAUUAAAAAAACAAAAAAACAAAAGACCAGAAGC